rnacentral:lncRNA from 1 species
GUAGUAUCAGCUACUUCUUCCCAUAGCUCUUUGUCCCAAAUGAUGUGAUCAGAGCAAGUUUGUCUUUGAUUGGGAAAAAAAAAAAAAAAAAAAAGAAUCCAUGCUGGAGCCAGCUUUACCUUCUGCCCUGCCAGGUAAGAAGCAAACCUUCUAGCAACUUCACCCUUGGAGUCCGAGAAGGAUGGGAAAUUCCCCUGGAAGCCCAGAAAGAACCGAGGCCAAACUCUGGGCUUUUUCUGAGCAAACAUUUUGAGAGAAACCAAAGUGAUGAUGAUGUGGAAGAGCGGCCGGGGCUGUCCCCUCGAACAGCAGCAAGACUGAUGAAAACACAGGGAUUAGAACAGAUGAAUCAUUGCCAGUCCUCUCCCUGACGGCGUUUGCUAGUGGCAACCCGAUAAAUACCGGAUCUCCGAAAGCGCUGACAAGCUACCCACCAGGCCUGGGAGUUAGAUGGCUUUUGAAAUUGGUGGGAGGAGAAAGCGGGGAGUGAAGACACGGAGGCGUACCCCCCCUUCCAGAAUUCACAUUCUUCCUUUUGGGAGACAACCGAGACUCAAGUUAAAUGACUGUCAAAAUAAGGAAGAGGAGGAGGUGGCUUUCAAAUUCAAAGCCCAGGCUUCCUCACUGGAUGAAACAUCCAGCCACAUGCAGUCAAAGAGACCAUAUUGGUAAAAGAAAGGAAGAGAAAAAGCCCCCCAGCUAAAAACAAAAACCUAGGAUUAAGGAACACUUUCUUCAAGGAGAAUACCAAAUCCCUGGCCAUGGUUUCGUAAUAAUGGGUGUAGAGUUCGCGUUGCUGACACUUCCUAUGAUUCAGCUCUGCCAUCUUACUCAGCUCUUUGCGAAAUUAAACCACAUUUUAGAAUAGGAAACAAUAUCGGACUGAUAAUAAUUUCUGUUUAAAAUCUGGUAAUUUAAAACGCAGGUGAAAAUGAAUGGAAUGACAUAGAUUUUUAUCUCACCUUCUAGUCACAGAAAUGUUGAGUGUGAAAAACAUUGAAUUCCAAAUUCCAGAAAUAAAA